UAUCUACAGUCCAUUUCUCAAAGUGUAUCUCCUUCACUUGCAUCUAAGCUGUCUGAGAUGCAGCACUUCUCAAAUACAUGUCUGACUCACUGGCAAGUUUGACCCAAGUUACCACAUUAGGACCAUCCUCCCCGGCCCCCAAUUUAUCAUGUAGGUGUAUUUGUAAUCCUUACAACAAAAUUACUUAUUGCUUUUGUAAUUGCUCUUUGAAAGGCAGAUUAUGAAACCUAACUCUUGCAAUAGUGAGGGAAUGAUUUUCCUGGUAUAAUGACUUAAGUUUCUUCCUUCCCCUCUAAUCCAUUCCAAUAAGAGGACUCUAUAAUGGUACAAAACUUCAUUGUUUGAGGUUGCUGUGGGUAGUAUGUUAGGAGAAACCAGAGGUAGAGCAGUUGCAGGAGAUCACCAAGUUUGGUUACAGGUGCAAUCGAGGAGUGAAACGCCAGUCUUGGGAACAGGCCAGAUUGCCGGGCAGACUGCCAUCAUGGACAGUGAUGUUCCUGGGGUGGGAAUGAAGUGACGAAACCUGGGAGUGGUAGAUGGAAGACUUGGAGAAACAGGCAGGAGCGGCUUGGAGCUGAGCAGAUGGCAAAAGUGAAAGGGCAGUUUCAGAUGGCAAGGCUGUGGAAGCAGCACUGGCUGGGAGUGGGUGCUACGGACAAUGAUGAUGGGGUGUGGGGGCAGGGAUUCUUGAAAAGUAUGGUCUCCAGAGCAGCAGCAUCUGGGAAUUUGUUAAGAAUGCAAAUUCCUGCCUGUAAUCCCAGCACUUUGGGAGGAGAGGGCGAGAGAAAAGGUCACUGUGUAGAAACAUAAACCCCACUCCUGAAGUCAGGCAGGUACCCAAACACUGUCACUGGAGAGAGGUCAGUCACUUCAUCAGGUGCUUAGCUCUCAGUACUUAAAUA
rnacentral:lncRNA from 10 species